ACUUGCUUUCUCCGCCGGCGACCGGCGCACGGGGGAGUAACACGUAUGCAACCUGCCCCUGUCAGGGGGACAACCCGCCGAAAGGCGGGCUAAACCCGCGUACAUGCCACCGGGGCAUCCCGGAGGCAGGAAAGGCUUCGGCCGGACAGGGAUGGGCAUGCGGCGCAUUAGGCAGUAGGCGGGGUAACGGCCCACCUAACCGACGAUGCGUAGGGGUUCUGAGAGGAAGGUCCCCCACACUGGUACUGAGACACGGACCAGACUCCUACGGGAGGCAGCAG
rnacentral:rRNA from 1 species